GACGAACCGUGCGAACGUUAUUCGGAAUCACUGGGCUUAAAGGGUGCGUAGGCUGCGAGGAGGGUGGGGUGUGAAAUCCCUCGGCCUAACCGAGGAAUUGCGCUCCAAACCGCCUUGCUGGAGUGAGACAGAGGUGAGCGGAACUAAUGGUGGAGCGGUGAAAUGCGUUGAUAUCAGGAGGAACACCGGUGGCGAAGGCGGGUCUCUGGGCCGAUACUGACGCUGAGGAGCGAAAGCGUGGGGAGCAAACAGG
rnacentral:rRNA from 1 species